ACGAACGCUGGCGGCGUGCCUAAUCCCUGCAAGUAGAACGCUGAAGAGAGGAGCUUGCUCUUCUUGGAUGAGUUGCGAACGGGUGAGUAACGCGUAGGUAACCUGCCUUGUAGCGGGGGAUAACUAUUGGAAACGAUAGCUAAUACCGCAUAACAAUGGAUGACACAUGUCAUUUAUUUGAAAGGGGCAAUUGCUCCACUACAAGAUGGACCUGCGUUGUAUUAGCUAGUAGGUGAGGUAAUGGCUCACCUAGGCGACGAUACAUAGCCGACCUGAGAGGGUGAUCGGCCACGCUGGGACGGAGACACGGCCCAGAAUCCUGCGGGAGGCAGCAGUAGGGGAUUUUUGGCAAUGGGGGCAAUCGUGAACGAGGAACGCCGCGUGAGUGAAGAAGGUUGUCGGAUCGUAAAGAUCUGUUGUAAGUCAAGAACGGGUGUGAGAGUGGAAAGUUCACACUGUGACGGUAGCUAACCAGAAAGGGACGGCUAACUACGUG
rnacentral:rRNA from 1 species